CAACCCUCAAGCUCAGCUUGGUGUUGGGAACCGCGUUAAUCCGCGCUCCCCAAAUUGAUUGGCGGUCACGUCGAGCUUCCAUAGCGUAGUAGUAAAACCCUCGUUACUGGUAAUCGUCGCGGCCACGCCGUUAAACCCCAACUUCUGAA
rnacentral:misc_RNA from 1 species